GGCGGGAGCACCGAAUCCUGGGCUGUGUCUCUGGGCGCCUUGAGAUCCCAGGCCUGUGCCACUGGAAUCUCGCUCCUGGGGGCAUGCAGCCCCCU
rnacentral:pre_miRNA from 1 species